GGAAGACGGAGUUAUCUGAGAAAAGGUCUGCAUUAGGGAGAAAAUGGAGCCAUGUCUUUUCAAGAACCAGGGAACCAGACAGAUUAUUCUUCUAGCUCUGGCAUUUGAUACCUACAGAGCUCAUAUUUCAGCUUUUACCAAGGUUAUAGGAACGCCUAAAGCUGAGACCUUUGACUGCUGGAAUUGCAGAAAGGACACUGUGGAAGAAAGCAUAUUUGAAACUUCUUAGCUGAUGAUUGUUUAAACACCAUCUUCCAGCUGUUUCAU